rnacentral:rRNA from 1 species
GGGUCCGCACAAGCGGUGGAGUAUGUGGUUUAAUUCGAUGCAACGCGAAGAACCUUACCAGGGUUUGACAUCCUGCGAAUCUCUUGGAAACGAGAGAGUGCCUUCGGGAACGCAGUGACAGGUGGUGCAUGGCUGUCGUCAGCUCGUGUCGUGAGAUGUUGGGUUAAGUCCCGCAACGAGCGCAACCCUCGUCCUAUGUUGCCAACACGUAAUGGUGGGAACUCAUGGGAUACUGCCGGUGAUAAACCGGAGGAAGGUGUGGAUGACGUCAAGUCAUCAUGCCCCUUACAUCCUGGGCUACACACGUACUACAAUGCUACGGACAAAGGGCUGCAAGUUCGCGAGGACAAGCAAAUCCCAUAAACCGUGGCUCAGUUCAGAUCGUAGGCUGCAACUCGCCUACGUGAAGGCGGAAUCGCUAG